GACGAACGCUGGCGGCGUGCUUAACACAUGCAAGUCGAACGGAAAGGCCCUGCUUUUGUGGGGUGCUCGAGUGGCGAACGGGUGAGUAACACGUGAGUAACCUGCCCUUGACUUUGGGAUAACUUCAGGAAACUGGGGCUAAUACCGGAUAGGAUCUCCUGCUGCAUGGUGGGGGAUGGAAAGUUUCGGCGGUUGGGGAUGGACUCGCGGCUUAUCAGCUUGUUGGUGGGGUAGUGGCUUACCAAGGCUUUGAAGGGUAGCCGGCCUGAGAGGGUGACCGGCCACAUUGGGACUGCGAGACGGCCCAGACUCCUACGGGAGGCAGCAGUGGGGAAUAUUGCACAAUGGGCGGAAGCCUGAGGCAGCAACGCCGCGUGCGGGAUGACGGCCUUCGGGUUGUAAACCGCUUUCGCAUGUGACGAAGCGUGAGUGACGGUAAUGGGUAAAGAAGCACCGGCUAACUACGUG
rnacentral:rRNA from 1 species